GAUGAACGCUGGCGGCGUGCCUAAUACAUGCAAGUCGAGCGAACGGACGAGAAGCUUGCUUCUCUGAUGUUAGCGGCGGACGGGUGAGUAACACGUGGAUAACCUACCUAUAAGACUGGGAUAACUUCGGGAAACCGUAGCUAAUACCGGAUAAUAUUUUGAACCGCAUGGUUCAAAAGUGAAAGGCGGUCUUGCUGUCACUUAUAGAUGGAUCCGCGCUGCAUUAGCUAGUUGGUAAGGUAACGGCUUACCAAGGCAACGAUGCAUAGCCGACCUGAGAGGGUGAUCGGCCACACUGGAACUGAGACACGGUCCAGACUCCUACGGGAGGCAGCAGUAGGGAAUCUUCCGCGAUGGGCGAAAGCCUGACGGAGCAACGCCGCGUGAGUGAUGAAGGUCUUCGGAUCGUAAAACUCUGUUAUUAGGGAAGAACAUAUGUGUAAGUAACUGUGCACAUCUUGACGGUACCUAAUCAGAGCCACGGCUAACUACGUG
rnacentral:rRNA from 1 species